GAUCCUCCAGUGAAGUGAGAAGCUUUAUAGUCCUGUGAGUUGAAGACUGCAGGACUCAGAUCUGUCAGUCAACACAGCAGGAAGCACAAUCACCAUGACUGUCAUCACCAUCCUCAUCUGGACGCUGGUCUGCUGCUGUUUCACAGGAUGCAGCGGUCAGGUGACUGUGACUCAGCCUCCAGUCGUGACAUCUACUCCAGGAUCGACUGUCACUCUGACCUGUAAAACCAGCCGAGCUGUCAACAGAUGGUCAGAUGGAACUCAGAGUAUGUACUGGUACCAACAGAAAUCAGGACAGACUCCAAAGCUCCUAAUAAUAUAUGUGAGCACACGUGAAUCAGGAAUACCAGCUCGAUUCAGUGGCAGUGGAAGCGGCUCUGACUUCACCUUGACCAUCAAUGGAGUUCAGAAUGAAGAUGCAGCAGUUUACUACUGUCAGAGUUACCACAGUGGUGGAGUGUUCACACAGUGAUUUGUAGUCGUACAA